rnacentral:SRP_RNA from 1 species
GGUCGGGUUCCGCGCACUGGGAGCGUUCGAACCGCGUCAGAUCCGGAAGGAAGCAGCGCUAAGGACUCCCUCCCAGGUGCCGCGGCCUCGCCCGGCCGGA